GACGAACGCUGGCGGCGUGCCUAAUACAUGCAAGUAGAACGCUGAAGAGAGGAGCUUGCUCUUCUUGGAUGAGUUGCGAACGGGUGAGUAACGCGUAGGUAACCUGCCUUGUAGCGGGGGAUAACUAUUGGAAACGAUAGCUAAUACCGCAUAACAAUGGAUGACACAUGUCAUUUAUUUGAAAGGGGCAAUUGCUCCACUACAAGAUGGACCUGCGUUGUAUUAGCUAGUAGGUGAGGUAACGGCUCACCUAGGCGACGAUACAUAGCCGACCUGAGAGGGUGAUCGGCCACACUGGGACUGAGACACGGCCCAGACUCCUACGGGAGGCAGCAGUAGGGAAUCUUCGGCAAUGGGGGCAACCCUGACCGAGCAACGCCGCGUGAGUGAAGAAGGUUUUCGGAUCGUAAAGCUCUGUUGUAAGUCAAGAACGAGUGUGAGAGUGGAAAGUUCACACUGUGACGGUAGCUUACCAGAAAGGGACGGCUAACUACGUGCCAGCAGCCGCGGUAAUACGUAGGUCCCGAGCGUUGUCCGGAUUUAUUGGGCGUAAAGCGAGCGCAGGCGGUUUGAUAAGUCUGAAGUUAAAGGCUGUGGCUCAACCAUAGUUCGCUUUGGAAACUGUUUAACUUGAGUGCAGAAGGGGAGAGUGGAAUUCCAUGUGUAGCGGUGAAAUGCGUAGAUAUAUGGAGGAACACCGGUGGCGAAAGCGGCUCUCUGGUCUGUAACUGACGCUGAGGCUCGAAAGCGUGGGGAGCAAACAGG
rnacentral:rRNA from 1 species